UUCUGCUCUUAUUGAAAUCAGUGAGAGUCCUGCCAUUGACUUAAAUGGGAGCAGAAUU
rnacentral:pre_miRNA from 1 species